rnacentral:rRNA from 1 species
GAUUAUGGCUCAGGAUGAACGCUAGCGGCAGGCCUAAUACAUGCAAGUCGAACGGGAUAGGCUCCUUCGGGGGCCUUGAGAGUGGCGCACGGGUGCGCAACGCGUAUGCAACCAACCCCCGACAGGCGGAUAGCCGGUGGAAACGCCGGAUAAUACGCCAUGGUUCCGGUGGAGGGCAUCCUCUACUGGAUAAAGCCGAGAGGCGGUCGGGGACGGGCAUGCGUCCCAUUAGAUGGUAGGCGGGGUGACGGCCCACCUAGUCCACGAUGGGUAGGGGAUCUGAGAGGACGGUCCCCCACACUGGUACUGAGACACGGACCAGACUCCUGCGGGAGGCAGCAGUAAGGGAUAUUGGUCAAUGGGCGGAAGCCUGAACCAGCCCAUGCCGCGUGAGGGAAUGAGGCCCUACGGGUCGUGAACCUCUUUUAUUCGGGGACAAGGACGCGGUCGGGAACCGUGUUUGAGGGUACCGAAGGAAUAAGCGUCGGCUAACUCCGUGCCAGCCGCGGC